UUGCCUACGGGAGGCAGCAGUGAGGAAUAUUGGUCAAUGGGAGAGAUCCUGAACCAGCCAAGCCGCGUGAGGGAAGACGGCCCUAUGGGUUGUAAACCUCUUUUGUCGGGGAGCAAAAGCCGGACGUGUCCGGCUGUGAGAGUACCCGAAGAAAAAGCAUCGGCUAACUCCGUGCCAGCAGCCGCGGUAAUACGGAGGAUGCGAGCGUUAUCCGGAUUUAUUGGGUUUAAAGGGUGCGCAGGCGGAUUUUUAAGUCAGCGGUCAAAUCGUGGGGCUCAUCCCCAUCCAGCCGUUGAAACUGGGGA
rnacentral:rRNA from 1 species